UGGGGAAUCUUCCGCAAUGGACGAAAGUCUGACGGAGCAACGCCGCGUGAGUGAAGAAGGUUUUCGGAUCGUAAAGCUCUGUUGUUUGAGACGAAUGUGCAGACUUUGAAUAAGGGUUUGUAAUGACGGUAUUAAACGAGAAAGCCACGGCUAACUACGUGCCAGCAGCCGCGGUAAUACGUAGGUGGCAAGCGUUGUCCGGAAUUAUUGGGCGUAAAGGGAGCGCAGGUGGGAAUGUAAGUCAGUCUUAAAAGUGCGGGGCUCAACCCCGUGAGGGGAUUGAAACUACAUUUCUUGAGUGCAGGAGAGGAAAGUGGAAUUCCUAGUGUAGCGGUGAAAUGCGUAGAGAUUAGGAGGAACACCAGUGGCGAAGGCGACUUUCUGGACUGUAACUGACACU
rnacentral:rRNA from 1 species